rnacentral:lncRNA from 1 species
GCGACCGUGUGGAUGGGGCUUAGCAGGCGGCGGCAUCGACGGGACGGGGAGGGAUCGAGGAGUCGGCUCGCCACCUCGCAUUCGCGACCUUCAAAUGCAAGCUAUGAGGUACUCCUCAUCCCUCCCCUCCCCUAGUUGAGGUUAAUGUGAAUGUUUUCUUUUCAUUAGAGCCUCUACUUUUUGCAUUGGAACUGCCGAAUCUGCUGACUUAGAUUAACUUCCGAGUUACACUGAUUAGCUAGGUAGAUUAGAUACUUCGAUCAUCACGUUGAUCGACUCGGCCUGGUGCGCUCACCAUCGAUUGCCGAUCUGAAAAAGAAAGGCUUGGCCUCUCUGUAUGUUUGGCCAGAGACAUGAAAUCUGCAAGCAUCACUGUAUGUGCUGGCCGUGGACGAGGCAUUUUUUUAGAGAAGGGUAUUUCUUACAUGCCCUCUACGUCCAACCGGAUAUAUGCAGCCAUUUAAAUUGGGAACUUAGCCCCUCAAACAACCCAAUCUGAAAUUCGCUCCUAUGGAGAUUUGAGCUCAGGACCUUAGGAUGCUACUUAGGUCACUGCAGCCAUUAGGCUACAUGAGGUAAUGGUCCCUUCCGUGGGCACAUCACCCAUCCAUGGCGAUGGUGCUCAGUGAUUUGAGUCUUUUGUUUGGGCAAGCGAUUUUGAAAUGAUACUUCUAUCCCUCAUAUACUGUUGUUGUUCACUAGCGCCAUGUUAAUAUCUUAGGGUUUAGGGCAACAUGAAAGGGCAAGGAAGAAAUAGUUCGGCAGCCCUUUGGUCUAUCAUUUCCAUUGCAAAGAGGCACAACUGAAAAAAUGAAUCAAACAAAUAAUCUUGCCGCGCUGGGUUAUAGGCUUAUAGCCCAAAAGGGCCACUUUGGUUAGACUGGCUUGGCAUAGCCACAUUAUUCUCUGGAGGUCUUUCUUUUUCUCUGAGAACCUCUCUGCAGAUGCAAACGGCCCAUAAUCAGAUGAACUUACAGUUACAAUCUAAGGAAAAUGUCUAAAUUUUAUUCAUAUAGUAAUAUUAGUAGUAAUGUUUAUCCAAGAUAAGGUAACAAAAGAAUUUAAGGGGAAAAAAGCUUAAAGAAAGAAAAAAAAAGGAAGAAAAGAGAAAUCAACAAAAAGCCUGAAUCAGCCAGAUCCCUGCUUGCACCUCUGAAAUUGAGUGAAAACAAUUCUUCGUACUGUAUUUUGCUUAUGAAUAUUUUCUAGGUCCAUUAUGUAUCACCCUAGGAUGGGUUCUAGAACUAACAUGACCUAAACAGGUUCUUUAGUGGUGCUGUAAGUUUGUCUAAUAACCUUUUAGUAUAGAUUCAGCUGUCAUCUAAUCUUGAAAUUUCGGCCUUCUAAAUAUUACUCUAUUUCUCGUGAGUAUGGCCUAAAUCCAUACAGUUUAUGUUGCUAAAUUAAUACUCAAUAGCAAGACAUUAGAUUUCCGUUUUUCGUUAAAUAAACUUCAAUGUAUAGGCUGCCGACUGCCGAAGUGCCAUGAGGCACAAAUAUAUUUUUGUAAAGGAUAGAAUCAUAUGAUUCAUCACAUGACAAUUAAUUUAUUUACAUCAUUGAGUAGUAUUUUUCUCCUUUUUCAAUGAAUUACAGUCUCAUCCACUAUUUACAGAUGUGUUGGUCACCUACUUAUCUUGUUUUCUGAUAGUAAAUUUCCUAGAAACAUGCACCUGGGGAGAACAUUGAUGAGGUUCCUUGUUCAAAUUUCUACUGUCUACUACUGCUUAAAAGUUAAAACCUUCAGUAGGUAUGUCUUUCCAACCAACAUCAUUAAAUGCGAUGCUCCAGUUUGGUUAUGUUGGCUUGGCAAUUCUGUGAUGGAAUAUAGAGGCAAAAUGAUUAAUUUGUCUUCCCCUCCUAUUGUCUUGAUUGGCAAGAAGAUGCAUAAAAUAAUUAAUGCAGAACCUUACUGAUGCUUUAUAAAUGAAAGAAGUUAAGUUUAAAUGGCAGUCACUGUCAGGUCAAAAUAUACUUGUUUCUUUCUAGUAAAUUUGAAAUCAUUUUUUUAAAAAAGGACCAAUGAAACUUAAAUAUACAUCCUCUGCAGCAAUAGUAAUUCCAAGAAAAGGUGAGAUACCUUAGCGCAAAGUCCAUGAUGAAAUACUCUUGUCCACAUCAGAAUUCAACUCAAAUGUUAUGCACCCAUCUCCUUUGGAAGACUAAUAUCUAGGAAGUGCAAGCUGCAAAAUACAAGUGAGCUAUAAAUUGGAAAUGUAGACAUUUAUCAAUAUUUAUAUGCUGUAAUCACAUUAAGGAAAUACAGCUGAUAUAAUUGUCACAAAGCUGCAGGGAAAUUCAUGGACGAAUCCAUGAGACCUUGAGGCUCAUAGCAGAUGUAGCCAUGCCCAUGAAGCUUUCCAAUCAUCUAGAUGCAAUGCAAGGAGACAGCAGAGGGCCAAGCAAGAAUGCUGAGCUAGGCAGCUAGCUUCCAUGGCUGCCUAAGCUGAGGGUUUAAAUUAUUUGAAAAUUAGCUGUUUCCUUAUAAAGUUAUGCUUGGGGGAUAACAAUAAAGUCUAUCAAUGGAGACUCCCUAUCUCCAGCUUUGAUUUGUCAUUGAUAUGCUCUAUAUAAAGGAGGUUUAUCAUCUCCCUCUGAGUGUGCAAGUAAUAAUAAUGAAUUAAAAAGUUCAUAAUCUAGCUUAUUCCUCUCCACUAAGCCCCGUCCCUUUGUUCUCUUUGAUCUUUCUCCCUCAAGCCAUGUUGCAUGUCCUCUUCUGAUAGUUGUUGCCCAUUCUUGAAGUAGGCUCAUGAUAUAAUAACAUUCAUUACAUUAUAUUACAAUCUUCCAAAAACAGUUCAUUGAAUUUAAGAUCUUAUACACCAUGUAUUUCUAAAUACUUUGCUGAUUUUGACUGGAAAUUUUGUGUUAAUAACUCCUGAUCCAUAUAUACAUACAUACCAUAUUGGCCUACUGUGACACCUAGGGUCCGUGUCAAAUAAGCCAUGCACUUACACCAACUUUGCUUAGUAUUUUCAUCCUUGUUUCACUUGUUAAAAUUGUUAACUCUGGGGUAUGGUACUCUUGGGCUUAUAUGUUGGUCACUGCUGCAGUGCUGCUAAGUGAUGUGGAACUAAUCCAUAUGUGUCCAUCCUCAUGCGCUCAUGCCUGCCUUAGCGAAUGUGCACCCCCUAUGCCAUAACCCAAAUUUUGAACGCAAUAUUUUGUUAUAACCAAUCUCUGCUAAAUAUUUCUUGCUAAAUCAGCCACAUUGACCAACAUCUAUCAAAUUAUUUUUUUUCUGUCCAAGGUGCGGUAGGUAUCUUGGGUGGCCGAAAUAAGUAUCGCGGUCAUAUUAUUGAACAGAAAAAUUAUAAACCGGUACUGGUAGUGUCUUAUGUAAAAUUAAUUGUUCACCGCAGUAGUAAGACUGUAACACACCUCAUGGACAUAAAAGCCAUGCCAACAAAUACAGCCUUCACAGCAUCCUUGCGUCCUGCGUAUUCAAAUGCUAUUGGUAGCAUUUCAUAUAACGUUAGAAACGCCAUGACCCCUCCCACUGUGCAAAGAAAAUUUAUGAAACUAUUAAACACUUAAGUUGAGCUAUUUUUCAAAAUAAAUUUCUGUUAAUUUGGUUACCUAAUCCAAGUAGGCCUUCCAAUAUUUCAGGAUUCAAGUUGCUUGGGAAUAGGUAUGCUGCAAGAAACUUACAUUUCAUAUGCAUUAUUUGAAUACAUAGAAUGAUGGCAAUAGAAUGAAGUGUAUGAACUCAGCCUGUCAAUGUUAGUAUUUCUGGUUAUAGUUAAUAUGGAAGUGUUAAAAUUUAAGAACACAUCUAGUUUUGGUAAUUGGUAACAUCUAUGUGCACAAAUCACGUAUUAUUGUGCAAUAAUUUAAAUCAGUGAACCUACCUACGAUAAUUACACCUAGUGGCUCUGCAAAACCAGAUAGCGUCGCUAGUUUGAAGGCUUGCCAUUUGCUGCAUCAGACGUGACAAACAUAAUUUUACUAGAACUGCAGGGCUAUUUUUUUCAGAAGUACAACAGGUCUACUUAAAUAUAUUAACUAGUACCUGCAAGUGGCAAAGUACGCAGGGAGAGCUACUGAAAUACCCUGCACGUGAACAAAAUAUCGAUAACUAUUAGAGUAUUCAAUUGGUCUUAACAGGGUGGUGGGAGAAAAUAUAAUUACACUCCAUUUGCAAUUAGCUCUACAAAUUCAUGAAAGUAUAAUAUUGUGUAUCUUCAAUGCAAAAUUACAGUGGCCAUGGGCAAAAAAGAGGGGAUGGGCGGAUGGGUGAGAAGACACUUCCCAAUUUCAACACCUAUUCUCAAGUCCCACUUCCACCCAAAAGGCGCCACAAAGUCAAUUACCUCUGGGAUGUAGUGUAGAGCUAUAGCAAGAGACAAGUUAAGGCCAACACGGAAGCCCUGAAAAGCAGAUAAGAUUAAUUAACUUUAUCAUAAGCCUUUACUAUUCAAUUUCUGGUUACAUAUUCAAAUAUAUUGGUGAUGUUAUACACUAAAUGAACAUGUGUCUGGAUAAAAUGCAUGUCAACAUUAGCAUGCAAGGUAUCCUUUACACACUAUCCAUUUAUGAAAAUACUAGAGAGACUAAAAAUACUUAUCAAUAAAAUAGAGUGGGCUGUAGUCAAUAUGGAUAAUAUGAGAAAGGUACAUGGAAAAUAAUAUCUACUACAAUGCAUAUAAUUGUAAAGGUACAUACAUGAAUAGUUUUUGUACCAUAUUUACUAUUUAAUUGUUGAAUGUUUGUUCAACUUAACACAAAGAUGAAUAUAUACAGCUUGUUUGUUUAAUUAUGUUGUACUUGGUUAUAUAUUUUCUUCCAUGCCUCAAAAGCCUUUGGCCAUCAUUGAGAAACUUUGUUGGGCAUAGUGACAACACUGAAUAAGUUAUUAUAAAUAUUGAAAACAGUAAGAAAAAAAUACCUUUGUGGUUCCAAGAAAUGCCGCAGUACCCACAGGGAAGUUUUGCAAACUCACACCAGCAACUGUUGAUAUGAACAAUUGAACAUUUUGUUCAUAAGUGCAACCAUUAAAACCAAACAAACAUGCAGGAAAAGGGCAUACAGUUAGUUGUGUAUGCAUAUAUUUUACUUAUAUGUCAUUUCUUUCACUGUGUAAAAUUAUGUGUACUUGAAUCCAAGCUAUUUAAAUAGAAAUCAAUUGUUGUACUGAACAAGUUGUGAAAUAUCAUUUUCUGUAUUAACGGCUAAACAAACUACUAAUUUUGAGUUGCCUCUAGAUGUUCAAUACUUCAAUCUGAGCUGUUGUUUAUAUAAAGCUACAUGUUACUCUUUUUUCUUUUUCUUAUCCAAUAAGCUACAGAUUUUUUUAUGCUGAAUAUUAGCAAUCAUACUCUUAUGAAUAAUUAAGAGUCAAUAUGUUGGAGUUCAGAACUAAAAUGUUAGUUAUAUAUAUAAUGCAAUCCAGAAAUAUGUCAUCUGUGUGUUGUUAGAAAACUGGAAAAUGUUAUGAUAUAUUCAUCAUUAUUAAGUAUAUCUUAAUGUAGGUUAAAUAUUAUAAUUUUAUUGAAUAAGUACAUCUUAAUCUUGGUUCAAUAAGUAUACAUCUUAAUUUAGGUUCAACAUUAAAAUUUUAUUUGCUUUCAUGCUAUAAAUUGUUGUGACUCACAAGGUUGGCUGUAUAUAAAUGUGUCAAAGUGUUGAUGCAAUCAAUUCAUAGUUUGCUAGGAUGGCAUCAACAAUAAAUGUACAAUUAGUUUAUUAUAGCAUAUUCUUUAUCAAGCUAUUAAAAUACAUAAGGUACAUUUUGGACUUACCUAUUGCUGUGACAACGACACUAAAGAUUACUCUUCGGCGGUGUCUCAUCAUAAGUUCCUUCCCUGCUAUGUUGUUAUUACCAGUCUUAUUUUCCAACUAAAAAAUAGAAUGGUGAAUCCUAUAUUAGUUUCUGAGCCAAGGCUAACUGAAAUUGGCUAGCGAACUAAGUUGAGAGGUUAUACAUGUUUGUCAUUCUCAUCUGCUAAAUUGCAAUCUGGUUCAGGGAAAACCUCAGCAAUAGUGGAAAACAGGAGUGCCCCAGCAAAAAACUGCAAUGCAUAAGCUAAUUAGACAAGAAGAGGUUACAGUUCCUUGACUUUUUAUUGGUUACUCUCACCCAAAGGUUUCCUUUUAGAAAACCAAUCGCGUUGACAGCAUCAUAAGCCAAGUCAAAGAAAGACAUGCUUAACAUGAGCCCAGUAGCAAAACCCUAAAAAACAGUAUGUAAAAAUGUUAGAUUUGUGCAAAGAUGAGCUUAUGUUGUUUUAUGAGCUUGCCCAUAGUGCAAAUAUGAACUGGUGUUGUUUGACCGUAAUACAUAAUACAUAGCUGUACUCUACCUGUAACAUCCCGAGUGUUUUGUUGUUUGGGGCACAGUUUAGUAUAGCCAGCAAUGCACCUGAUGAAAUAGUACACAGCUAUUACGGGAGUAGGAAGGUGAUGGCUAUCGAGAGGUAUAACAUACUCAUUCAAUUACUACAAAAUUGAUCCCAAAAUAAUUCAAGAGAAAAUACCAUAAAAGUCCAAUUGAGGUACAAAAUUGCAUGGCUGUGCAUACAGCUAAGAAAAAUGAGUGAUGGGAAGUGCAUAUAUGCAUACCAAGAGAGGUGCUAAGGCCACCAAUAAGGGACAGAGCGAGAGCAACAACAACUUUGGGAUCCAUGUGUAUAUCUGUUGAUUGAUGGAUUUAUCUCUCCCUGUAUAUGUGAGCUUUGGCGUCUACAGCAACUAUGGGAGGAAAAUGAAUGUAUGCUGUUACUAGAAGAACCAGUAGUACUAAUGAUAGUGAGGAUGGACGGAUGUGAAAGGUAAAGUAAUAACUUCUGUUGUGGUGAUGGAGAUGGAUGCACCAUUAUAAACAAGCGAGGCUGGGUGGCUAUGACGUUACAUAGUUAUGGAUCUUGUUUUAUAGUUGAUCAUGUAUAUUAACGGCUAAUCAGUUGAUUUUAAUAUGAAAAGUAGAGAGGGGGGUGAUCAAGUGGAGCAUGGGAUAACUACUGGGUGAUGCAUUAGUUCAGCUAAGUUGAGCGGGGCACGUUUGGAAUGACUUGGCACAUGCUUGCUUGCUAACUUAUGUAAUUCGUGGGUAUCCUCAUAGUUAAGCUAUGUUUCACUUGAGGUAUGCCUGCAGGUAAGGUAAUUUCUGCUAGCUUUCUUGUAAAGAUGGGAAGGUAUGUAGCUAGGGCUGAGUUUGGGAACUCCAAGCCUCUUUUAGUAAAUAGUAGAGAGAUAUUUAUUUAAUUCCUGAAAAAUUGUGUGAAGUGAGAGUUACUAGUAGUGCCUGCAGGUGAUAUAUGGCAUAAGUAACCCAACAGGUGACAAGUAACCCCCGUUAUUCUUGUAAUGUAUUAUGCUCUUCCAAUGCAAUUUGUUGCUUCAUCUUGGGCCCCCUGUGUACUCAUCCUUGGUAGAAAAACAGAGCUUACAAACUUGGGAGUUCAAAAUAGCCAAAAAAAAACUUAGCUAGCUAGGUGAAAGUAAUGCUUAAUUAAUAUUUUUUGUGUAUUGUCCUCUUGCAAAGUUGAUGUGCACAGGCAACUGCAUCAGAUCUAUAACAUACCCUACCAUAUUACAGUGAAACGGAGGAGAUCUCAGGGAAUGGCUGAAGUUGCAUUGGACCAAUCUUGGUCCGACAAGCCUCCAAGACAAACUUGGAUUCAAUUUCGUUCUGGCAGAUCGGUAAGGUGACAGAUAUACUGUAUUUGUCUUUUAUGUGCCGCUUGCGUUAUGGUAUGAUUGAACAGAAUAAUUCGUGUCACAAAUCGAUGUUUAAUCCUGCAGGUAUGAAUGCCAUCCUCGCAAGCAUUGCGCAAGUUGAUAGUGGUGAUAUUCUUGAAAAGAAAAAAUCGAUAGUGGUAAUGAGAAAAGCACAGGAGGAGGACAAGAGGACAAGUGAGGCGGCAAGCUAAGAAGACGGUGGCUUGGCGUGCUUGGCGUAAUCUAACUUGAUUACCAGGCAGAGGCAGACAAACAGUGAGUGCAUCAUAGUAUACAUGAGCUCUAUAUAUAUAUACUUAAUUUGCAGCCAUUUUUUUCCUUCUUGUGCGUGCCUUUAUUUAUGUCUGCUUUGGUCAGCAGCUGGAUUCUAGCUCGAUGGAAGAUGUUCCUGCCACAUGUGCAUGCAUUCAUGCUGGCUUAAGGAAAUUAUUCAGGGAGACAUGAUGCCCAAGCAAGAAGAUCGAGGGCAGGGCUGCUCCAGAUGAGAUCAUCAGCCGCAGCUACACCUCUACCUCUGCUUCUUGUUUUCCUCUACCUGUAGGCUGUAGCAACAACAAGUUUUCCUCUACCCCUCUGCUUCUUGUUUAGCAACAACAAUAGUACUACUGCUCUGCUUCCUGUGUGUCAUCUGCAUCAAUGAUCUGUGAUGAUCUAUUGGAUGUAUCUCAGUAUCUGUGCUUAUAGCUUUCCACCAUCGAAUCGAACAUGCACGACUCAUUUUCUGGUAUUUCUCAGUCAAAUUUCUUUAAAUUUGAUCAAAUUUAUAAAAGAAAAACAUAGCAAUAUUUUCAGUACAAAACAAACAUACUAUGAGAAUGUAUUAUAUUUAUUUGAUGUUAGAUUUAAUAAAAUUAAUAUGAUAUUGUAGAUGUAUUAGUACUAUGCAAUUUUAGUUUGUUUUCUACAGAGUAUUAAUAUUUUCAUUUAGAGAGUAGCCCACGUGGUUGUCAAGGUCGCAUAUCUUACGCUUCGUGUAAUUAAUUAACUGCUGAUAACAUCAAACAAAAUUGAACGGAGCUUUCUUUUCUACUCCAUUUUCCCUCCCUGUUUCAUACCGUAAGACGCUCUUUUAGUAUGAGUAAGUUUAUAGAAGAUUAGACAAGAUGCCUAUUGAUAUAGCUUCAUAAGCAUGCAUAUUAAUGGGUGGU